rnacentral:rRNA from 1 species
UACGGGGGGGGGCAAGCGUUGUUCGGAAUUACUGGGCGUAAAGGGCUCGUAGGUGGCCAACUAAGUCAGACGUGAAAUCCCCAGGCUCAACUUGGGAACUGCGUCUGAUACGGGCUAGCUAGAAUUCGGUAGGGGAGACUGGAAUUCCUGGUGUAGCGGUGAAAUGCGCAGAUAUCAGGAGGAACACCGGUGGCGAAGGCGGGUCUCUGGGCCGAUAUUGACGCUGAGGAGCGAAAGCGUGGGGAGCGAACAGG